AGAGUUGAUCCUGGCUCAGGACGAACGCUGGCGGCGCGCCUAACACAUGCAAGUCGAACGGAGCUUAGAGAGCUUGCUUUUUAAGCUUAGUGGCGAACGGGUGAGUAACGCGUGAGUAACCUGCCCUAGAGUGGGGGACAACAGUUGGAAACGACUGCUAAUACCGCAUAAGCCCACGGUACCGCAUGGCACUGGGGGAAAAGGAUUUAUUCGCUUUAGGAUGGACUCGCGUCCAAUUAGCUAGUUGGUGAGGUAACGGCCCACCAAGGCGACGAUUGGUAGCCGGACUGGGAGGUUGAACGGCCACAUUGGGACUGAGACACGGCCCAGACUCCUACGGGAGGCAGCAGUGGGGGAUAUUGCACAAUGGGGGAAACCCUGAUGCAGCGACGCCGCGCGGAGGAAGAAGGUUUUCGGAUUGUAAACUCCUGUCGUUAGGGACGAUAAUGACGGUACCUAACAAGAAAGCACCGGCUAACUACGUGCCAGCAGCCGCGGUAAAACGUAGGGUGCAAGCGUUGUCCGGAAUUACUGGGUGUAAAGGGAGCGCAGGCGGGAAGACAAGUUGGAAGUGAAAACCAUGGGCUCAACCCAUGAAUUGCUUUCAAAACUGUUUUUCUUGAGUAGUGCAGAGGUAGAUGGAAUUCCCGGUGUAGCGGUGGAAUGCGUAGAUAUCGGGAAGGAACACCAGUGGCGAAGGCGGUCUACUGGGCACCAACUGACGCUGAGGCUCGAAGCAUGGUUAGCAACAGGAUAGAUACCUGGUAGUCAUGCCGUAACAUGAUACUAGUGUGGGGAUGACCCCUC
rnacentral:rRNA from 1 species